GCGGCGGGGCCCGUGCCGUGACCCCGGAGCCGCGACCCGGCCGGCGGAGCUCGAUGCGUCCUGAGGCUUUGGGGUCGCCGUCAGCGGAUCCUUCCCCUCCGUCCGCCGGGCCCUGUGCUCCCUGCGCCGGGCUCCGUCCGCCCGGCCACCGGCGCCGCGGUAGCGCUGGAACCCGCGUAGGGAACACAAACCCUGGCAGCAGGAGCCCGGCAGGUAAAUCACUGCGGGUCUCUGAGGUUGCCCCUCUGUGCCCUCAGCAGCGUGUGGCCUAAGACACGUUUUUCUGGACUCCAGGGAUGUGUUUCAGCUUCACAUCUCUCGCUGACCCCGCGUCUGCACUAAAUACAGAUUUACGGUUUGCUUUUAGCAGUCCCGGCACAUGGAAUGCGUAACUUUAACCCAGUUCGUGUUCAGCUUGCUUCUGUCAAGCACCAAAUACCCGAUCUCUUCCAUCUCCGUUAGGAGAAGUGAUGAGCAAGUGUCUUUGCAAUUUCCAGUGAGGAUAAGGCAUCUUGGUGCUUUUACAACUCUGAUUUCAUUGCUCCCUAACAAAUACCAAUGAUUUCUACAGUUUAGUUAGUAAAAAUUUGUUGUACAUGAGAAAUAAACAUGUAUAUGUUUUCUUUAUAGAAUCAUUGAAUCAUUUCAGUUGGAAGAAACCCUCAGGAUCAUCGAGUCCAACCAUAAUCUAACUCUGGCACUAAACCAUAUCCCUGAGAACCUCAUCUAUGCGCCUUUUGAACACCUCCCAGUCUUUAUAAAUGUCUAGACUUUUAGAUAUAAAAAGGCAAAACAACAUCACCAGAAAAGGAAGCAAAUCUUUUGCUAUCAAACACAGUCCUUUGACCCCUGAACGUGAGUCUCCAUCUUCCUAUCAGCAUAACGCACUCCUUGUUACACUGGUAAACAAUUCAUAGAUCUUCCAUCAAGCACCUCCGGAGAGGAAUGAAAACAAGAGCUGAAGUCUCCCACUGCGCCUCUUUCCACCACGGUUGCUACUAGUGCCCCUCGUACUGUCAAACUGCAUCAGCAAAUCCAACCGCCAGCCUCUGUAGACAUGAGUCUGGAGUAUGGUAUGUGUCUUGCAGCCUGUUCCCAGAAGACUCAAAUAUUUAAGUGAAAAUUCCAUGAAUAAGAAGAGAUUGUUUUUUCCUCUGGAUUAUCAGGAAAAGAAUUUGUAUUGUGCUGCAGGCUAUUCAGUGAGGGCUGAAGUCUCUUUUUGUGUAGCUACUGUCUAUCAAGUGUAAAUCAAUGCAUUGUGUACUAAGUGUAAAAAUGCUUUUCUGAUACUCGGCUAAAUUAUUAUUGUUGUUUUGACCCUUGUCUUUCAUUCACCUCCACUCACUUGCUGACUUUUGUGGUUUCUGAGAUGACAUGUUGAUUUAGGACCACUGCGAUAGACCAAUCUCAUCUCGUACUUUCCAUCUAAUUUUAUACUCUUAUUCCCUAAUGGUCUUAUUUGCCACCAGUCUGCAUUCUUCUUACACACUACCAAUAAAAUUUAUUCAUUAUG